AUUGAACGCUGGCGGCAGGCCUAACACAUGCAAGUCGAGCGGCAGCGGGAAAGUAGCUUGCUACUUUUGCCGGCGAGCGGCGGACGGGUGAGUAAUGCCUGGGAAAUUGCCCCGUCGAGGGGGAUAACAGAUGGAACCGACUGCUAAUACCGCAUACGCCCUACGGGGGAAAGCAGGGGACCUUCGGGCCUUCCGCGACUGGAUAUGCCCAGGCGGGAUUAGCUAGUUGGUGAGGGACUGGCGGACCAAGGCGACGAUACCUAGCUGGUCUGGAAUGAAAGUCGGACACACUGGAACUGUGACACGGUCCAGACUGCGACGGGAGGCGGCUGUGGGGAAUAUUGCACAAUGGGGGAAUCCCUGAUGCAGCCAUGCGGCGUGUGUGAAGAAGGCCUUCGGGUUGUAAAGCACUUUCAGCGAGGAGGAAAGGUUGAUGCCUAAUACGUAUCAACUGUGACGUUACUCGCAGAAGAAGCGCCGGCUAACUCCGUGCCAGCCGCCGCGGUAAAAC
rnacentral:rRNA from 1 species